rnacentral:rRNA from 1 species
GGGUGAGUAACACGUAUCCAACCUGCCGUCUACUCUUGGACAGCCUUCUGAAAGGAAGAUUAAUACAAGAUGGCAUCAUGAGUCCGCAUGUUCACAUGAUUAAAGGUAUUCCGGUAGACGAUGGGGAUGCGUUCCAUUAGAUAGUAGGCGGGGUAACGGCCCACCUAGUCUUCGAUGGAUAGGGGUUCUGAGAGGAAGGUCCCCCACAUUGGAACUGAGACACGGUCCAAACUCCUACGGGAGGCAGCAGUGAGGAAUAUUGGUCAAUGGGCGCAGGCCUGAACCAGCCAAGUAGCGUGAAGGAUGACUGCCCUAUGGGUUGUAAACUUCUUUUAUAAAGGAAUAAAGUCGGGUAUGGAUACCCGUUUGCAUGUACUUUAUGAAUAAGGAUCGGCUAACUCCGUGCCAGCAGCCGCGGUAAUACGGAGGAUCCGAGCGUUAUCCGGAUUUAUUGGGUUUAAAGGGAGCGUAGAUGGAUGUUUAAGUCAGUUGUGAAAGUUUGCGGCUCAACCGUAAAAUUGCAGUUGAUACUGGAUAUCUUGAGUGCAGUUGAGGCAGGCGGAAUUCGUGGUGUAGCGGUGAAAUGCUUAGAUAUCACGAAGAACUCCGAUUGCGAAGGCAGCCUGCUAAGCUGCAACUGACAUUGAGGCUCGAAAGUGUGGGUAUCAAACAGGAUUAGAUACCCUGGUAGUCCACACGGUAAACGAUGAAUACUCGCUGUUUGCGAUAUACAGCAAGCGGCCAAG